rnacentral:rRNA from 1 species
GACGAAGGAUGCAAGCGUUAUCCGGAUUCAUUGGGUUUAAAGGGAGCGUAGGCGGUCUUGUAAGUCAGUGGUGAAAUCUUUGGGCUUAACCCAGAAACUGCCAUUGAUACUGCAGGACUUGAGUACAGAUGCUGUGGGCGGAAUAUGACAUGUAGUGGUGAAAUACAUAGAGAUGUCAUAGAACACCGAUUGCGAAGGCAGCUCACAAAACUGUAACUGACGCUGAGGCUCGAAAGUGUGGGGAUCAAACAGG